rnacentral:rRNA from 1 species
UACGUAGGGUGCGAGCGUUGUCCGGAAUUAUUGGGCGUAAAGAGCUCGUAGGCGGUCUGUCACGUCGGAUGUGAAAACUCGGGGCUCAACCCCGAGCCUGCAUUCGAUACGGGCAGACUAGAGUGCGGUAGGGGAGACUGGAAUUCCUGGUGUAGCGGUGAAAUGCGCAGAUAUCAGGAGGAACACCGGUGGCGAAGGCGGUUCUCUGGGCAUUACCUGACGCUGAGGAGCGAAAGCGUGGGGAGCGAACAGG